rnacentral:misc_RNA from 1 species
CACCAGGAUGCAUUGAUGAGGGCAUGGCCAUUAGUGCACGAGGCAGUACUGGACCCCACAACAGAGCCAUUCGUUAAGGCAAAUGACGAGCCCGCCUACAGCUACUACGGGAAACAGCCAGAAAUGAAUGAUUUAAUGCUGAAGGCCAUGUCAGGUGUAGCUGUGCCGUUCAUGAAAGCCGUCUUGAACGGCUAUGAUGGAUUUCAAGGGUUGGAGAGAUUAGUUGAUGUAGGUGGGAGUGCAGGGGAUUGCCUUAAGAUGAUCCUGCACAAAUAUCCUAGCAUUCUUCAAGGGAUAAACUUUGAUUUGCCUGAAGUAGUUGCCAAGGCACCAAAGAUUCCAGGUGUUAUCCAUGUUGGUGGUGACAUGUUCAAAUCGAUUCCUUCAGCUGAUGGUAUCUUUAUGAAGUGGAUAUUGACGACAUGGACAGAUGAUGAAUGCAAGUUGAUAAUGGAAAAUUGUUACAAGGCACUUCCUGUAGGAGGG